AAGAAACUUAAGGUGCACUGAACAAAAGAAAUUUUUUAAAAUUCUUGAAAAUUAAAGCUGGCAAACUACAUAUAGACAAGUUCUAGUUAGCUUGCUUCUAAUUUAAGAACAGAACGUUAGAAAUUGAGUUCGGGAAUCCCAUUUUCUAUUUUUAAAUUCUUACUCUUUUGCUGUAAUUGUAGGGUAUCUAUUGUCCUUAGAUCUUGCGCGCAUAAACGUUUAUGAUUUGAGAAACAAACUAACAAUCAAGGUUUUCCAGAAUUAUUUUGGAGAAAACAAAAUUCCAGGCAUUUUCCAGUCUAAACUUCUUCAGAUAGUUCUUUUACCAGAAUGAUGUUCAAGUACAUCCCUUUAUUUUUUAAAACUCUGUCAGGGACCAAUUCAAACAAUAGCUCUUCUUCUGCAUGUGACAAACCAUCAGGCAUGGAUGUUGUGUUAAUUUGAUAUGAAAAUGAAAUGUAUAUUUUAGAACACGUAAUAAGUGACCUUCGACUCCGCAUGGCGAAACUUGAAAAUAGCUCUCUAUUUCCAUAUCUUUUGAAUGAAUUUUCUGUUGCCGCUAUUUUUGGAAUCAGGAAUAAAACACAAGGGGCAUUAUGAACAUACAAUUAUUACCAUGUGACAAGAACGGCAACAUUCUAAGAAUUCUAACAUAUUAUAUUAUAUUUAAUAAAUAUUUUGAAAAAUGUACAGAAUGUCUUUCAUAGAAAAAACUUAAUGCUGUGUUAAUUUUAAGGAUUGCUGCAUUUCAUGUAUGUUACGUGCUUGAAUGAUUUUAGUAUAUUUCAUAAAUAUUUAUGACAAUACACAUUUUAAUUUGCCCCUCAAAAUACAAAUUUCCAGGUCUGGGAAUACACAUUUCCAUUUUGGCAUGUAAGCAUCUCUGAUAUAAUAUAUUAUCAUACAGAAUAUGAUAUCAAUCUAGAUUCUAGAUGAUCAUGAUACAAUAUCUAGAUCUAGAAUCUAGUCCUGGAAUAGAUUUAGCUAGAAAAUGCUAGAAUUUGAAGUCCUCGAUUAGAU